AACGAAGUCAAGCGCCGGAGAAACAUGUGUCGACUGCGGGAUGAAAGGGACAUGCACUUCAGUUUGAACGAUAGCUAAAAAGAGUGGGGGGGAGGUGGUAGAUCUGAUGUCCUGUCUCUGAGGAGCUCUGGCUACAGCUCCCAGACGUCCAGACCUUCUGACCACAGCUCAGGGAUUAAACCCCAGAGAUCUCCACACACCAGAUUAAACACUGAACCUGAACACAGCAGGGAACCACAAGGACCGAUACGUAGACUACCAUGUUAUCUGCUCCGGAACAAUUGUUGUUCUAAAGCAUCAGCUCCAGUGCCCCCAUGCAGGUGUGUUCCAGUGCAGGUUGACAGGUCUGGCCUUUCAGAUGGAGGGAGAGGGGGAGGUACUAAACAGAACUGUCCAAAGGGAUGAAUGUCAACUGCACCUCCCCCACUGUGAGAUUCUCUCUGGUGGCGAAGAUGCAGAGAUUGAGCUCCUACAUAGCUGUGUAUUCAGACUGCACACUCUCUCGCGGGGAAGUCUACAGUCUCUGCUGUAAUGUGGUGGAGGGAGAUAUGAUCCAACCUAAGGUUCCUCAUUGACGGGUGGAAGGCAGACUGAGUAUGCUCAGAGUGGCUCUGCAGAGGAGCAACUGCGUUGUGCAAGACUGGCGUUUGUGCAGCGAGUGUCCAAGCCUGUCCUGGAUUAUCUGCUGGAUGAACUUCUGCAGGAGAGGGUGAUCAACUAUGCCGAAAGAGAGGCAGUGAAGGUGGAGACUCAGAGGGCAGAGAGAACACGGGCCACCAUCGACAUGGUCCUGAGGAAGGAGAUGAGUCAUGUUCUGUGAUGACACGCCUCCUGUGUGAGAAGGACCCCUACCUAUAUUCAACACUUGGCUUUAAAUAAUGCUGAAUAGGAUGAAUUUAUAGCAGUUCUGUAACACUGAAAUUAAGGGACCUAUUUCCACUAGGUGGUAGAAGCAUAUUUACUAAAUGUAAAGUUGUAUUAUUAUAUAUUCAAGGGGAUUAUUGAAUAAUAAUAAAAUUGAAUAAUCUUCUAU